UACUCCGAGGAAACACACAGGGGAAGGGAAGGGAGCCAGAUCAGGCAUGGGCCAACGUCGGCCCUCCGGGUGUUUUGGACUUCAACUCCCACAAUUCCUAACAGGAAUUGUGGGAGUUGAAGUCCAAAACACCCGGAGGGCCGACGUUGGCCCAUGCCUGGGCUAGUGUCUCUCCAAAUUACAACUCCAAGGGUUCCAUAACAGCAGGGUAAAAGCGAUGUCAAAGUGCAUUUACUUCCACAGUGUAGAUGCAGUCCCGGGAAAGAAGGGAGAGAGGAAAAGAGGGGACUGCCACUACGAAGGAGGAGGGGGUGCAAAGCUACACGGGUCAGGUGCGAAGCGUGUGGAGGGGCGAGCACGUGUCGGUUACCUGCGCUGGAAGUCUUGCUCAAAGGGAGCCAGUACGUGUCUCCUAUUUGAUAUAAUCUUGAGGACCUGUCUGCAUUCGUUAUUUCAAGAGAAUAAACUCAUGCACAUACUGGGGAAAGCUAGUGAGUUCUAAUGAUUAUCUGCAGUCGAAUAGACACCACAGUAAAUCUUCCAGCUAUUUCAAAGACGUUCUCAAGAUUACAGCCCUGGCAUAGGACCUUUAAUGCUCUAGAAAGACAGCUGCACGAAGACUUGAUGUUGACAUACAGAAACACCUGUCAUGUUGUCCUUUAUUAUAUAAAUAUGUAUGUAUAUUAUGCCAAGUUGGGGUUAAAAAUGCAUAAGGUUUUUCACAAGUAUGUGAUUUGAAUGUUGAAUAUUUUACAACUGAACAAUCAGGGAUGAUACAUUCUUAUGUGAAGAGCAAAUCCUAUUAAUCCUAUUCAUAAGCAAUUUAUUAAGCUCAGAGAGAAUCACAACACGGGAAGCUUAGUGAGUGCCUUGUUUUAACACCUAGAAGAGACACAGUUAUCAAACUGUUCUUAUAAGUAUCAUGCUGAAACUUAAUAAACUGGGCCAAACAAUUCUAGGAUCGAACUGUGUUCUUAAUAUAUCAGCAGGAAAACCCCCUUCUACAUACUAGUCUUGGUUAUAAAAAUGACCUUUGGGGUUUUUUUUUUUUGUAGUAGAUAUAAAUAACAUCUCUAAAUACAAACAGACACGUGAUAGCUGAAUGGUAGAGCACAUGUUUUCCAUGCAAAAAAUCCCAGAUUCAAUCCUUGCAAUCCAGAUAUGACCCUCUGCCAAAUUCUGGAGUGGCACCUCUAUGCAGUGUAUGGUAUAUUUAGUUCAAGAGAUCAACAAUGAUACUAAGAAGCAUUCAUAUUUUUUUCUGUAAAAGUGUGUUUUCACACUGUCAAUUUGUGAUAUGUAUUUGCUUCUGCUUAAUGCUGGGAUGUAAGAUGGACCCAGAUAUAGACAGAAAACAUAACAAAAGCAUUUAGCUUCAUAGGUGACUAUGAUGCUUUCUAAGCAGAUGUUUGAACCGAAGGGACGGGUAAGCAAUUUUUUUAAAGUUAGCUCUCAGAAACAAUAUUUUGGCUGCUCAUAAUACACAUGUGUUGUUAUUUGCUGUUUGGUUUUAAUUAUGAUUUACCACCAUAUAUGACAGACCCUUCAUAACUCCUGUCAUCAACUGCCCUACUUAGGUCUUGCAAACUCAAGGCCAUGAGUUUCCACACAGUCAAACUCUUUUCUUACUGUCUUCUACUUUUUCAAGCACUAUGGGCUUUUCCAAUAAGUCACAUUAAAUCAUAUUAUGUCCAAACUAUAACAGCCUAAGCUUUUCAAUCUUCACUCCAAUGAGAAUUCAGACUUCAUUUUCUCUAAGACCCAUUCAUUUGUCCUGCUAGCAAUCCAGGGUAUCCUUAGAAUGCUCCUCCAGCAGUUCAUUUCAAAUGAGUUGAUUUUCUUCCUGUCCAACUUUCACAGUCGUUUAUAGAAAUCCUAGCCUGGAUGAUUCUGACUAUGGUUUUUCCAUAUGCAUAAUACACAUGCAGUUGGCCCUCCAUAUCUAUGGAUUCUGUAUCCACCCAUUCAACUAUCAUAUAAUCAUAGAAUAAUAGAGUUGGAAGAGACCUCGUGGGCCAUCCAGUCCAACUCCCCGCCAAGAAGCAGGAAAUCACAUUCAAACUAUCCAUGGCUUGAAAAUAUUAAAAAAGAAAUCCAAUAAAGCAAACCUUGAUUUGCCAUUUUGCAUUAGGGACACCAUUUUCUGAGACUUGAGCAUCUACAGAUGAUUAGUAUCAGAACAUUUUGAAAAGUAAAAGUUGAGAACCACUUUUGUAUGGAACUUAUUGACCUAUAUAACCAUUAUUUGCAUCCCUGAAUCUGAAAUGGUCAUGCUUGCUCCAGGAUAAAGACUAAUACACUGAAGACUGAAGAGCAAAAUAGAAAUGGGGACCAGCUAUUUUACCUGGUUUUGACAUUGUGGUAUAAAAAUUUGACUAAAAGUAUGUCGUGUCACAUAGCUACCACUGAUCCCUGGACAAAUAAAGGGAAGAAAGAAAGAAAGAAAAAUAAAGAGAGGGACAUUUUUGUAUGCUAUAAAUUUUGUUAAUGUUUAAUAAAAUGAAUUCACCAUUGCUUCCAGUAGUAGAAAAUCUUGAAAGACAGGGAAUUUUGACAGUUUCCCUCAAAGUGUACCCAUCCAGUACUACUUCCGUUAGGUGGCACAAACUCUGUCUGAAUAAUCAGGAACAUGCUGAAAUGUCUGAGAAGCCUACAUAAAAAACUGUGCAGUUUAUUCUUUAUGUUACACAUAUCACAAAUGUAGAAUCCCUGUUCUAGCAGUUGUAAGUGUGCACAUGUGUCAAACUCAAGACCCAUGGGCCGAAUCCAGCCUGCCAUGUCAUUUUAUGCUGCCCUCCAGAUGUUGGACUCCAACUCCUGUAUUCCUCAUCAUUAGACAUCUUAACUAGAGCUGAUGGGAGUUGUGAUACAGUAACAUCUGGAAGGUUGCAGUUUGUUCCAUUUAGUCAGGAUAAUGGGGUUUUAAUUUAGAUAAAGGGCUUGUGGAUAUGAUGUCUAACUUUGGAAUGUCCUUUAACCUUUCCACAACUUCAGAGCCACAAAUGAUGUUGGGUUGCAAUUCCUAUUACCCAGUCUGCAUGGCAGAUAAUCAAAAGUGAUGGGAGUUGUCAUUCACCAACAUCUGGGGACCCAAACUGGAUAGAAGCUAAAGAGCACCAACCUGUAUGUACUCACAAAUUCCCUCUCCAUGGAUUCAACAAUUCUUUGAAGGCAACCAAAAGGCUUAUUUGGUCUUCAAUUUGGCAUUUGACACUCUUGGUUUCUAGCUUGUCAUUUUGAAAACACAAUUAGAGUAGUAUACUUUGCUUCCUGAAAAGAAAAAAAAAUGAGAGGACCUCACAGGCAUGAUGUUACAGAAUAUUUACAUGAUCUUCCAAGCCACGUGAUAAGACAGGACCUCCCUCCACCACCUGAGGGCAGCAGACUAACCUAGGACAGGAUUUCUUAAACUUUUCCACUUAAGACUCCUUUUGGCCCAAACUUUAUGUGACCUCAAGUAUAUAGGUCACCUAUAUACCUAUAUAAAAUAGGUAUAAAAUCUAACAUUCACUGACAACAAAUCAGCAUGAGCAAGGCUUGCUAAACAGGCCAGUUUCCUUUUUAUAAAGUACAUCUCAAGCAUCUUCUGCAGAGUCUAUUGUAAAUGUCUAAAACAGACACCAAAUGAUGUUUAGAAAAACAUUCUGAACGUCAACAUUGAGCUAUUGUAGGACAGGACCAAAAAUUUAAGAAGCACUGGCCUAGGACACCAAAAAUGAGGGGACUAUCACCAGGCCUGUUCCCACAUCUGCUAAUUGAAAUAGUUGCCUAACUCAUUCUUUCAUGUCAUUGGAAGUAGCAGCCAUAUUAUGAGUGGAAGAGGCCUUACUGCGUGAAUAGAAGCAACAUAAUACUAAAAGAUUCUCUUACAGAAUCCAAAAAUUCACUACCUUUCUAUCUGGUUAGAUUAUAUCACCCUCGAUUCCAGCAUCGCUCCAAAAAUUUAAAAUUAUUCUUAGUCAUUGAAGCUGGCACUCUAUCAAAGUGUGAUAUAAUACCAGAAAAAAAGUUGAUACAUUUCUUAAGCUCGUAUUUCACAACUACAUGUAGGCAAUGAGUUUCAAUUCUAACAAGAUGAUGUGAGGCAGUUAAUUUUAGAAACAUGAUUUUAAACUGAUGCCAAGUGAAGGCUGCCCACUGAAUAUCCUUCUGUGUAACUAUGAAAGGCAUGGGAGCCCAGCACUCAUUUACAUCUGGCCAGCCUCCUGAACCCAGCAGUAGCCUGGAGAUCUGUGGAAUCCCCUGCUCAUGUUAAAGGGCACUUGGCUUGCAUCCAUUUAUUAUAUCCCCUAAAAUAGGUACAACCACAAGUAUCUUGAAAAGAUGGUAGCUAUGGAUGGAAGGCUGCCCUCAUUAUCAAGAAAGAGAACUUUAUCCUUAAGUACGAUUUUCCCCUUUUACAUGUUCUGGAACUAAGAUCAAAUAAUAGGUAUUUGUUAUAGGGCAAUGGCCUGUAGCAAAUUAAACACAGUUACCAACCUUUUGUUCUUCUCCCGACAUCUUCAAUUCAGGAUUUUCAUUGAGUUCCAACUCCAUUCUUUUAUUUUUUUUCCCCCUAGAAGUUUACUUAUAAUCAAAUGAAAUAUUCAGUUGCAUGGUUAGCAUAGUUAAAUUCUGCCCUGAGGAUGGUGAAGCCAUUCUGUGGUUUGAUUCCCCAGCUCUCCCUUAUGCUGAGAAUCAUUUACAAGCAAAAAAAAAAGUACUCAGUGGGGAGGUCAGGGUCACAGAGUCCAGCCAUCAGCUAGCCUGGACUUCAAAAGAACAGUCUUACGUUACUCUUGCUGCUACUGAAGAUGAUUGCUUUAAAUUAUUCAUAGCAAUAUUCAGCACAGUAUAACAUUUUAAGCUCCCAUACCUUCCUCGAGCUGCUAUGCCAUGAAAAAGCAACCACAAAAUAAGUAUUAACAUGAAAAAGGGCACACUUUUUAAAUACAGAAUACCUCUCUCGUUAUAUCAUUGUGAUCUCCAGGUAAAUAAUGACAUAUAACCCACUACUUUUAGAGGGAUUUAGUAUUUAUUGCAUAACACCUACAUCUUCUGAGUGGACUGGAUGUUUUAAAAAUGAAACACCUACCCAAAUCAAAAUUGAUGCUUUGAAUUUUGCUUCCCUGGCUGCCUCAGCUGAAACAGUAAAUAUAGUAAAUAUUUAAACAAGGUAACUAUCCCUUUUCAGAGCCAAGCCUUUUCUGUUCUUGUUAGAGAUUUAAUAAAUUUAUAAUCACAAUCAGAUUCCAUGAACCUUGAGUCUGAUUCUACAAUCACAGAGAGGACAAUACAGUUUUUCCACAGGCAAUUAGCACCACACGUGAAACAGCAUCCAUAAGGCUUCCUUGCCCACUCUUUUUGGCUAACCUUUAGCAACUUUCCCAGUGCAAUUUUCUCAGCCAUUUUAUUUCAAGCCAUCUUCUGUACAAAAUCCCAACUAUCUAACUCUUUCCAGAGACAAAUGUUUCUACUGUUCCAGCAGUAGAUGGGGAGAUGUGAGUAUAUGGAUGAACUACAUAGAAACAGUAAGCACAAUACUGUCAAAUGUAAGUUGGAGGCAAGUGCCAGGUUGAUUGAAUACUGUUAAGUUCAAAAAAGGAAACUUCUCCAAAAUGAGGGAAUGGGUAAAAUGGGAGUUAAAAGGAAAGGUCAAAAAGGUGAAAUCUCUCUCACUAUGUUGCCUGGGGGCUACUUGAAACUAAAUUAAGAGAGACUCAGCUAAAAUGCCCAGCAUGGAUCAGAAACAGAAAUACAGAAUCCAAGAGGUCAGCAGCAUGGCUAGCAAGCACCAUGAAGAGCAAAAAGGGAAUUUGAGGAGCAUAUCGCAAAUAGCAUCAACCCUAACAAUAAAGUGUUAUUUAAUUGUUUCAGCAGGAACAUGCCAAGAAGUGAGACAGGUGGAUCACUGAAAGAUAGCAGAUUUAAAGAAUUCCAAAGUAAGAUAAGAGAUUAUAGAGAAGGUGAAACUUUUCAUCAGUCUUCAUUGCUAAAUGUGUAUGGAAAAUAGUCAUUAGUGAAAUGUAGAACAUAUUGCCGGAGGGGGAAAUGAGGAGGUAGUGUGAUGCUGAGAGGAAAUUUUAGGCCACAUAAAGCUAAUUGAAUUGCCCACUCAAGGACAUAGCUACCCAAACAAAAGUUCUAAAAGAACUCUUAUGUGAAAAUUAUACAUCAGCAUUUAUUUGUAACAUAUCACAUGAACAAUCCAGAGGACUGAGGAGUGUCCAGUUUAAAAUUUAUUUCUAAAAGUUAUUUUGUGGAAGGAUGGAAAUACUAAAAAUUAAAAGAGUCCUUCUCCAAAGACAAUGAAUAAAUAGUUAUGGGAUAAAAUAAAAAGUAUUCCUAUGGACUCAGUGCUGAUUAAGGAACAGGAAGAAUAACAUAAAAAUGAACUGUAAUUUCUCACAGUGGAGAGAGGUGAACCAUGGUGUCCUUUACGGAUCUGAAUUAAGACUUGUGCUUUUUUAUUUGUUUAUAAAUGAUCUGCAUUUAGGGUGAGUAAUGGAAAGAUCAAGUUUGGGAUGAACUCAAAAACCAUCAUUCAGAAAGAACUCAAAAACUCUCUCUCUGAACUGUGAGAAUGAACAUUAAAACAUCAUGUGAUAUGCAGUGUAAGCAACUGUAAAGUAAUAAUUGUUGCUCGGAAAAAUGCUAAUUAUACAAAUAUCCUGAACAAGAAAGGGAUUUUCAAGUUGUAAUAGAAAGCUUAAUGAAAAUGUUGAGUUAGUGUGUGGCUGAUGCAAAAAAAGGGCAAAUUCCACAUACAACACAAGGGGGAGGAGGUAUAAAAAUGGCAAAGUCUCCCUAUUCAUGUCUACAAUAUGACCACAUGUGAAUUGCUGUGUACUGUUCUAGUCUCUGCAACAGAAAAAUGUUAUUGUAACCUUGGAAAUGUUCAGAAAGAAGCAACCAAAAUAAUCAAGGGACAAGAAUGACUCUUCUAGAAAGAAAUAUUACACCUCUGGGGAAUCAUUUAGUGUGGAAAAAUGAGCUGAGGAGACAACAAUAAAGGUGUGUGAUGUAGAGAAAAUGGGUAGUAGUUUUUCUUCCUCUCUUAUAACCCUACAUUCUGAGCCACCAGGAAGUAGUUUUCCAUGCAGCACAUAAACUAGAAAUUGCUGCCAAAAGAUGUAGUGGUGUCUACCAGUUUGGCUGGUUUUAAAGAAGAAUUAUAUACAUUAAGGAUAGAGCUAUCAAUGGCUGCCAUUCAAUAUAGCUAUGUAUCGUUUCUAAUAUACAAGACAGUAUGUUUCUUUGUAGCAGCCACUAUAUGACCAAAAGGCCAGUGCUUCUCACACUAUCUGAUGUGAUUUGUUUUGUUUUGUUUUUUUACAAUGUGCCACAUAGAAGCAACAUAAUAGUUGCCAUUGGCUACAUUGUUUCUUUUUCCUGUAAGCUUGCCAAAUUGGCAACCAAUAGAAACCUCCACUAUGAAUAGUAGUGCAAUAGACAACUGGCUACUAUGUGCUGAACCAGAUAUGCUUUUGGCCUAAUUGCUUUAUGGCUUAUGUGAUCUUAUGACUGUGCCACAAAAUACAUUUUACAACAACUAUGACUAUGUCUAUAAAUAUAUUCAUAGUUGGCUCUUAUGAAAUUUAUUUAUUUCUCAUGUCAGAAGCAAACCGAGGGUACAAGUUGUAAUGGAUUUGCAAACAUAGAGAUUUUUUUAAGAAAGAAAAAAAACUUGGCAUUAAUACUAAAUAUCUUUUGCCCAGUAGCUGGCCACUUGGAGUGCCUCUGGUGUUGCUGUUAGAAGAUCCUCCACUGUGCAUGCAGCAGGGCUCAGAAUGCAUUGCAGUAGGUGGUCUGUGGUUUGCUCUUCUCCACAGUCGCAUGUUGCGGACUCCACUUUGUAGCCCCAUUUCUUAAGGUUGGCUCUGUAUCUCGUGGUGACAUUCAGCGCAUUCCAAGUUGCUCUUAUGAAAUAAAGAUGUAUAAGUGGAAAGUAUACAUAAACUGGGAGAGUUUUAUUUUUCACAAGUAGAGGACCUUCAGUGGAAACCCCACUCUUCCCCAAUAUCCAAGUGAGAACUGACCUUUUCCAAUAGUCAUGGGAUGCCAAAUGACUAUUGGUAAGGAUGGGUAGAAAACUGUAUGAAAUAUCAUUUGAAGAAGACUUGCUCUGAUAUCUUCUUGUGUUUGGAUACUGCUGCUUUGGCUAUUUGAACAGUUACACUUUUAUUUGAAACACAGAAAUAAAAGAAAUUAUAAUA